UAACAUACAUACAGAGGGCCUGAAGGGUAGCUGGUCAUCACCGAUUCAAGUUCCCGGCUGCUCUUUCUCUCGUACUAUAUGGGUUUUUCUUUCUUUUUUUAAAAGCUCAUAUUAUGCGUUUCAUUUAUGUGUGUGGGUGUUUUGUCUUCAUGUAUGCCUGUACAACACAUAUGUGCCUGGUGUCUGAGGAGACCAGAAGAGGACUUCAGAUCCCCCAGGACUGGAGUUAGAGACACUGUAAACACUCUCCAAACCAGAAAAUUUUGGCUAGGACAUAGCUCUGUGCUAGAGACUCACUCACAUGCAGGAAGCUGUGGAUUUGAUCUGUCCCCGGGCGGAAGAGUGGUAGAUCAUGAAUUCUGUCUGAAGAACUUAUGAACAGCUGUGGAGUUUUCCUGUCCCAACCGCCAGCUCCAAAAUAACCACAAAGAGGCUUAAUAUUACUUAUAAAUUCUAAACUGACAUGUGAAUCACGACUGGAUGGACAAAAGAAGGCUGCUAGGAGACUGGUCAUGUUUUUAUCUUGAUCUUGGGUACUUACUGGGUCAUGCUCACACUGUAGAACUUUACAAGCUGGCCCCUCAUUAUCCACAUAAUUCUCUGUAUGUGCGUUAUUAAUUAAUAAGAACGUCACUCUA